UGUGGCCUGUAUACCCUUGUCUGUCUUCUUUUUCUCUAUGGAAAUGGAACUUCAAGAGAUGUGAGCAAAUGUAGCCAAGUUAAGCUAUUUUUUGAGAUGUUGAAAUGUGUCAGUUGCUGCAAUGAAAUGAAACAUUGAAACUGAAAACCACAUCCUGUGCAAAUGAGUUCUCAGUUCAACCGGAAUAGAACCACAUUCUUUACACCUACCUCAUAAACAGCUAACACAAAUGAGACCUCUAAUGUUUAGGUCUGUGGGUAUCUGUCUGCAAUCUGUCUUUCACAACACCAGGUCGUGGAAGAAAAGUCUGAAGAGUAUUCAGAUGACUCAUAUGAGGUUCGUGUCAAAAACCCACUCACAACAUGAACCCUGAAAAUGGCUUGUAAACCGUUGUUUAAACAGCUGAACUUUGUAAUUAUUGGAUGCGAUCGUGCCGGGAAAAGUGAAGUAUGUAAUGCCAUACUUGGGAAAAAGACAUUUAGUUUUUGGUCUUUACUGAAAAAAAGACAUGAGACGGCUACAAAGGAGGCACGUGGGAGGACAAUAACAGUUACCCGUGGAGCGGGCUGGAAUGAGGGCAACCUUGGCAAAAAGGAUGUAGAAAGAGAGAUGUUGUACUGUGUAAAUAGGUCACACAAAGCUGGACUUCAUGCUGUUGUCUUUGUUGUGGAUGCUAAUAGACCAUACUCAGAUGCAACCACCAUAGCCUUAGAAGAGCUUCUCCCAGAGAAGGUGUGGGAUCAUACCAUCGUGGUUCUUCGUAAUGCAGAAGCUCAUGGUGAGAAGCUUGGCGAUUCUCUCCAGAGCCUUGUUCAGAAAUGUGGAAACCGAUGUUGUGUACUCAACAGGGAAUCCAUAUGUGGCAUCACUGAGUGGCUUGAGGCAAUGAUAGCGGAGAAAAAACAGAUUUACUUUGGAGGAAAUGUUGAUGCGGAAGACGAUAAAAAAAUAAGUCUGAUUGCAAAUCUCAGACACAACAUUAAAUGUCUUCAACAGCAAAAAAAUAAAGAAGAAGAAAAGCAACUUGAGGAAAUGACAUGGCAAGCCAAAAUGGAACUUCAGAAGAGUACAGCACUGAAAGAUGUUGAAAUACAAAACCUUCAAGAGAUCUGCCGAAAACAGGAGGACGAACUGAAAUCAUUGCAGCAAGAAAUAUGCUCAGAUGCUCCGUCAAAAGGAGCGGCGGUAAAAACGUCCGGUCUGGAAAUCACAUGGCCCAGCAAAUUAAUGGAGAUUUUGGAUAACCUAGAUGAAAAAGAAUUCAAGAGACUGAAGUUUUUUCUACACCAAAAAAAAAGAAUACCCAAAUCACUUGACAGAGAUGAUCUUGCUGAUAAAAUGAUACAGGUAUGGGGUACAUCCCAGUGUAUCAUCGAAACAGAGGUACUGCUGAAAGAUUUGCAGCGCCUUGAUUUGGUGCAAAACCUUACGGAAUUUAGGAAAGACUUGAGUGGCACUACCAUUCAACUAGUGGACACCCCCUCAACCGUACCAAGCACAAAAUGAUCCCAUCAUGUUGACAGUGUCAUGAUGCCCUUAACCUAUCCAAGGAAACAGGAAAUUGUCCAAGCAACAACAACACAAAUCUGUAUUUGAGGUCUUUUGUUCUUUGCUUGGAUAUCUGAAAAUGCCCAAAUCUGACUUUGUGAGGACACAUAAAGCUGCAUGAGUGUCAGAUCUUAGGUUCAGUUCUUAGGCUAUACCUGCUCGGACUCCAACCAAAAAGACUUGACUUACUUUAGACUUUAACAUUCAAGGAUACAAUUUUUAGUCAACAGUGUACAGGAACAGAGUGACUUUUGAUAUUUGUAUGUCAUUGUACUGAAACCCAUAUGCUCGGAGGGAGAGCCCUAUAGCUCACAACCCACUGCAAACAAAGUACUGUCUUGAAACCUCUCAGACUUCUAGAAGUAUUCUCCUAAUGCCUCUCUGAAAUGAGUGGGGGAACCCACAGAGAAGUCAGAAGACGUCGAAAAAGUGGGUAACGGAACAGGGGACAUCGAAAAAAGACCAGACUCCUCCGACAAUGAGGAAAAAUGAUGCCUUACUAACUGGCAAAGAAGUCACCGGACCAAGAGAUGAACCGCUCUGUGGAAUUAUUUCUAUCUCUAAAGAUCUCCACAACUAAAAAAAAAGGACAUACACACGGCUACUUUGGAGUUAAAGGGACUAUUGACACAGAAGCCAGACCCUGACUCUACACCCAGAUCCAUUUGGGCGGAGCACAGGGUGAUUUACCUCCACACUCCAGCAGGGACUUUAGAGGGACAGGGAUCCUUUUACUGUAAGAAACUUUCUCUGUAGUUGGUCUGAUGUUCUUAUGUAGGUUUAUGUGUUUGUCAGUUUUUAUAUCUUUCAGUGUAAAAUAUCGAUGGAUUGUAUUACUUUACAUAAUAUAAUUUCUCUUAAUGUUAAUGGGCUUCUCUUAUGUAGAUUUAUGUGUUUGUUUUCAGUUGAUAAGGGAAAUCAGUUUUUAUAUCUUUCAGUGUGAGAAAUCGAUGGAUUGUAUUGUUUUACAUAAUAUAAUUUCUCUUAAUGUUAAUGGGCUUCUCUUAUGUAGGUUUAUUUGUUUGUUUUCAGUUGAGAAGGGAAAUCAGUUUUUGUAUCUUUCAGUGUGAGAAAUCUGUAUCAAUGGAGGGUAUUAUGUGACAUAAUAUAGUAAUUAAACUUAAGAUGUUGAUGUCAGUGCUGGAUGAAUGUGGAUCAUGCUCAGGCUAAAAAGUAAAUGAGCAACAAACUCAGGUCCUCAAUGUCCACUAAAACCCCCUUCAGUAUCUUCCCUCUGAGUAUAAAAUGGGCUCUUAGCUGUAUUUUAUGUAUAGACUCCAUCAACAUUAAUAUAUUACCAAGACGUUUGUGUUUAUUCCAAUCAUUGACCAUUGAAAAAUCUAAACCGUAUUUUAUGGGGUUACCAUGACACCAAAAUGGUUAGCCCUUCUUUGUCUGAGAUUAUUAUGGGGUUGCUCAUAGUAAGACACUGGUGGGAUGGUGCAAACCAUCAAAGCUAGUUAUAGUUUUGUUGCAAGUACUGGCAUUUCAUUCAGGAAAAGAUUAUUUAGUUGGUGGCUGACAUUUUUUGAGAAGCCGAUGCCCAUUAAAAGGAUCAAAAUCAGUCUGUAAAAUCAAAUCCAUCAGUGUUUAUUUUGUACAUAUGGACAUGAAAUAAAAGUAUACAAUUUGUAUCUUUGUAUGCGUGU
rnacentral:lncRNA from 1 species